rnacentral:rRNA from 1 species
AUAUCAAUAAGCGGAGGAAAAGAAACUAACAAGGAUUGGCCUAGUAACGGCGAGUGAAGCGCCAAUAGCCCAACUUGAAAAUCUCCCUUUGGAGAAUUGUAGUCUGGAGACGCAUCCUCUGCAGCGCACCGGACCCAAGUCCCCUGGAAAGGGGCGUCAGAGAGGGUGACAACCCCGUCGAGUCCGGACCGUGCUGCUCCACGAGGUGCGGUCGUCGAGUCGGGCUGUUUUUGGGAAUGCAGCCCCAAGUGGGUGGUAAAUUCCAUCCAAGGCUAAAUACUGGCGAGAGACCGAUAGCGCACAAGUA